rnacentral:rRNA from 1 species
GUCAUUGAAGAGUUGUUGGACGAACUACACGACGCCUGUUGGUUCUCCAAGCUUGAUUUGCGAGCCGGGUACCACCAAAUACGGCUCGCAGUGGGGGAGGAAUUCAAGACAGCAUUCCACACACACUCCGGCCACUAUGAAUUUCGAGUGGUCUCAUUCGUCCUAGCGGGGGGACCAGCAACUUUAAAUGGAGCAGUCACCCUCACUCUGCACCCUCUCCUAUGCCAUUGCGUGCUGCUUUUCUUCGAUGACAUACUGGUUUUCAGUCACACUCUGCGCGACCACAUCAAGCACCUGCGACAAGUCCUCGAACUCCUUCGUCGAGAUCAGUGGAAGGUGAAACUCAGCAAGUGCGCGUUUGGUCAG